rnacentral:rRNA from 1 species
CCUACGGGAGGCAGCAGUGGGGAAUCUUCCGCAAUGGGCGAAAGCCUGACGGAGCAACGCCGCGUGAGUGAAGAAGGCCUUCGGGUUGUAAAACUCUGUCUUCAGGGAAGAAAGAGAUGACGGUACCUGAGGAGGAAGCCACGGCUAACUACGUGCCAGCAGCCGCGGUAAUACGUAGGUGGCAAGCGUUGUCCGGAAUUACUGGGCGUAAAGAGCGCGUAGGCGGGGAUUUAAGUCAGGAGUGAAAACUGCGGGCUCAACCUGCAGCCUGCUCUUGAAACGGGAUUUCUUGAGGGUAUGAGAGGAAAGCGGAAUUCCCAGUGUAGCGGUGAAAUGCGUAGAUAUUGGGAGGAACACCAGUGGCGAGGGCGGCUUUCUGGCAUACAACUGACGCUGAGUCGCGAAAGCGUGGGGAUCAAACAGGAUUAGAUACCCUGGUAGU